CCUACGGGAGGCAGCAGUGGGGAAUAUUGCGCAAUGGGCGAAAGCCUGACGCAGCGACGCCGCGUGAGGGAUGAAGGUCUUCGGAUCGUAAACCUCUGUCAGCAGGGAAGAACGGUCACUGUGCUAAUCAGCAGUGAAUUGACGGUACCUGCAAGGGAAGCACCGGCUAACUCCGUGCCAGCAGCCGCGGUAAUACGGAGGGUGCGAGCGUUAAUCGGAAUUACUGGGCGUAAAGCGCUCGUAGGCGGUAUGUCAAGUCAAGGGUGAAAUCCCCGCGCUCAACGGGGGAACUGCGUUUGAAACUGGAGAACUUGAGUGUGUGAGAGGAUAGUGGAAUUCCAGGUGUAGGAGUGAAAUCCGUAGAUAUCUGGAGGAACAUCAGUGGCGAAGGCGACUAUCUGGCACAUAACUGACGCUGAGGAGCGAAAGCGUGGGUAGCAAACAGGAUUAGAUACCCUUGUAGUC
rnacentral:rRNA from 1 species